GACAGCUCAGCUGGUUAGAGUACAGUGCUAAUAAUGCCAAGGUUGCAGGUUUGAUCCCUGUAUGGGACA
rnacentral:tRNA from 1 species